AAUGGCAUCAUCCCCAACCUCUUGUGGUUCAGAGACAUCGAGAAUAUAGGAGAGCUUCUCCUGAGUGAGUAUAAUUUUUAAAUUUCUCAAUCAGUCCACAUAAUUGGGACUGAUUCACUUGUUGGAAUCUAAUAUUCUUCACAAUGAUAGUGAAGAUAUCAUUUGUAGAAUUUAAUCUAGAAUGAAUAAAGAAUAUUACAUAAGUAAACAACUCAUGUUGACUUACACAAUUAAAUUAGAUCUUUAGAUUUAAUUGUACCUCU
rnacentral:lncRNA from 1 species